AUGAAUUAAAAAAUUAAAAAAGUGAAAUGAAAAUAAAUAAUGGUUGAGAAAAAAAAUAAAAAUAAAAAUUUUAAAAUAUAAGAAAAAUAAAGGUUGAUAAAAAUGAAUUAAAACAAGGAAAAAUACAAAAGAGAAAAAAAGAAAAAGAAAUAAAAAUAGAAGUUGAGAGACAAAUGAACAUAAAAAAUUUAAAAAUAUUUGAGGUGUAGAGGGG
rnacentral:lncRNA from 1 species